CACGUAGGGUGCGAGCGUUGUCCGGAAUUAUUGGGCGUAAAGAGCUCGUAGGCGGUUUGUCGCGUCUGCCGUGAAAGUCCGGGGCUCAACUCCGGAUCUGCGGUGGGUACGGGCAGACUAGAGUGAUGUAGGGGAGACUGGAAUUCCUGGUGUAGCGGUGAAAUGCGCAGAUAUCAGGAGGAACACCGAUGGCGAAGGCAGGUCUCUGGGCAUUAACUGACGCUGAGGAGUGAAAGCAUGGGGAGCGAACAGG
rnacentral:rRNA from 1 species